UCUCCAAAAGCCGUCCCAGUUCGGAUUGCAGGCUGCAACCCGCCUGCAUGAAGUUGGAAUCGCUAGUAAUCGCGGAUCAGCAUGCCGCGGUGAAUACGUUCCCGGGCCUUGUACACACCGCCCGUCACACCAUGAGAGUCGGGAACACCCGAAGUCCGUAGCCUAACCGCAAGGGGGGCGCGGCCGAAGGUGGGUUCGAUAAUUGGGGUGAAGUCGUAACAAGGUAAC
rnacentral:rRNA from 1 species